GACGAACGCUGGCGGCGUGCCUAAUACAUGCAAGUAGAACGCUGAAGAGAGGAGCUUGCUCUUCUUGGCUGAGUUGCGAACGGGUGAGUAACGCGUAGGUAACCUGCCUGGUAGCGGGGGAUAACUAUUGGAAACGAUAGCUAAUACCGCAUAAAAUUGAUUAUUGCAUGAUAAUUAAUUGAAAGAUGCAACUGCAUCACUACCAGAUGGACCUGCGUUGUAUUAGCUAGUUGGUGAGGUAACGGCUCACCAAGGCGACGAUACAUAGCCGACCUGAGAGGGUGAUAGGCCACACUGGGACUGAGACACGGCCCAGACUCCUACGGGAGGCAGCAGUAGGGAAUCUUCGGCAAUGGGGGGAACCCUGACCGAGCAACGCCGCGUGAGUGAAGAAGGGUUUCGGAUCGUAAAGCUCGGUUGUAAGAGAAGAACGGGUGUGAGAGUGGAAAGUUCACACUGUGACGGUAUCUUACCAGAAAGGGACGGCUAACUACGUG
rnacentral:rRNA from 1 species